UACGUAGGGCGCAAGCGUUGUCCGGAAUUAUUGGGCGUAAAGAGCUCGUAGGCGGUCUGUCGCGUCCGUUGUGAAAACUCGAGGCUCAACCUCGGACUUGCAGUGGGUACGGGCAGACUAGAGUGUGGUAGGGGAGACUGGAAUUCCUGGUGUAGCGGUGGAAUGCGCAGAUAUCAGGAGGAACACCGGUGGCGAAGCGGAUCUCUGGGCCAUAACUGACGCUGGAGGAGCGAAAGCAUGGGGGGCGAACAGG
rnacentral:rRNA from 1 species